GGCAUCUGCUGCCGUCAUCAGUGGCUCCGUCACCGGUGUCAUCUUUGUUGUUUUCGUCCUCGCUGCUCUCCUCUACGUCCUCCGGAGGAGGAGGAACUCGCCAUCACGCCAGUCCCCCGAGGAUGUCUACUUCUCCAAGUCCGACCAGCUGAAGCCCCUCAAGACCUACGUUGACCCACACACCUAUGAAGACCCCAACCAAGCCAUGCUCAAGUUCACCACUGAGAUCUCGCCAUCCUCCAUCACCCGCCAGAAGGUCAUCGGCGCUGGUAGGUCCUCACAUUGUCAUCUCUCCCCAUACUGAGAAGGGAACGCGUUUUGAACUUCUCUGUUGCCCUGAGCAGGAGAAUUCGGGGAGGUCUACAAGGGCACCCUGAAGCAGGGCAAGAAGGAGGUGCCGGUGGCCAUCAAGACACUCAAGGUGGGCUACACGGAGAAGCAGCGUGUGGACUUCCUGAGCGAGGCCAGCAUCAUGGGGCAGUUCUGCCACCACAACAUCAUCCGCCUUGAGGGAGUCGUCUCC
rnacentral:lncRNA from 1 species